AGGAAACUUGGAACUCCUCUCUUCUGGAUCUUUAUGACCACAUAAGGAAGCAUUGUGAUCUGCAGUCGCUGCCAACCUGCAGGAUAACACAGCGUGUUCCUCUGUGAACUGCCCUUCAGUUUCUGGAUACAGCCACCCUCCACCUGUCUGCCUGGUCUUUGCAAACCCGAAAUGGUUUGCACCAAAACAAGAGCACGAACCAUUGGGAGAGUGAUUAAUGGAGUGGUGGACAAAAGUGAAUCUCGGGCAAAGGUGAGGCUGAGUAAAUAUAAAAUCUGCCUUCAAGUAUUUUUGCAUCAGCAAACAGAAGUAUAACUUUAAGCCAGUGUGCUUGUGUGUGUGUGUGUGUGUGUGUGUGUGUGUGUGUGUGAAAGGUCAAUGAUGAAAAUGACUCAUAAUGCUUUUAUUUACUAUUGUUUUCUGUCUUCAGUUGUUUUU
rnacentral:lncRNA from 1 species